CCAGGCAUAGUUCACCAUCUUUCGGGUCCUAUCGCGCGCGCUCAUGCUCCACCUCCCCGGCGGUGCGAGCGAGACGGGCCGGUGGUGCGCCCGCCCCGGACUGGAGAGGCCUCCAGAUCCCUCCUCCC